CCCUCAGAUAUUCUUUGACAACUGUGUGAAAGACUCCUGUGCCUGUGACACUGGAGGAGACUGUGAGUGUUUCUGCUCGGCUGUUGCUGCAUAUGCUCAAGCUUGUAACGAGGCUGGUGUCUGUGUUGCAUGGAGAACUCCAGACAUUUGUCCUGUGUUUUGUGAUUAUUAUAACCAUCAUGGUGAUUGUAAGUGGCACUACAACCCUUGCCACACUCCUUGUUAUAAGACAUGUUCAAAUCCAAGUGGAAUUUGUGACAGCACUUUACCAAAACUAGAGGGAUGCUAUCCUGAAUGUCCACAAGAAAGACCCAUAUUUGAUGAAAGAACACAGGAUUGUGUUGAAUUAUGUACUUCAACUACUACAACAACCACUACUACUACAACUACUGAAACCCCAACCACAACACCCACUAGUACAACCACAAACACAGAAACGCCUACUCCUACUACACCUACAACAACCAUCACUACUACAACAACCACUACAACUACUACUACAGAAACUCCAACCACAACGCUUAGUACUACUAC